AAACAACGCUCGCGGCUAUGCCUUAACACAAUUCAAGUCGAGCGCGCCUUCGGGUGAGCGGCGGACGGGUUAGUAACGCUGGACGUGCCCUUCUCUACGGAAUAGCUCUGGAAACGGCAGAGUAAUACCGUAUACGCCCUUUGGGGGGAAAGAUUUAUCGGAGAAGAUCGGCCCGCGUAGAUUAGUAGUGGUGGGGUAACGGCUACCAAAGCCUACGAUUCUAUAGCUGGUUUUAGAGGAUGAUCAGCAACACUGGGACUGAGACACGGCCCAGACUCCUACGUGGAGUGCAGCAGUGGGGAAUCUUAGACAAUGGGGGCAACCCUGAUCUAGCCAUGCCGCGUGAGUGAUGAAGCCUUAGGGUCGUAAAGCUCUUUCGCCUGUGAUGAUAAUGACAGUAGCAGGUAAAGAAACCCCGGCUAACUCCGUGCCAGCAGCCGCGGUAAUACGGAGGGGGUUAGCGUUGUUCGGAAUUACUGGGCGUAAAGCGCGCGUAGGCGGAUUAGAAAGUUGGGGGUGAAAUCCCGGGGCUCAACCCCGGAACUGCCUCCAAAACUGCUAGUCUAGAGUUCGAGAGAGGUGAGUGGAAUUCCGAGUGUAGAGGUGAAAUUCGUAGAUAUUCGGAGGA
rnacentral:rRNA from 1 species